AGUUUAAAUAAGAUCUUACAAUUCUCAAAUAAUAGGAACUUUAAAUAAUAAUAAGUAAAAAAAAUAUUUAUAAAUCUUCAAUCUAAGACGAGCCCUCCAAUUUGUCGAUUCCGUCUCUUAGCUUGGUGAGUUGUCUGUAAAGAUGUAAAGUAAAGGCGAGUGAGUUCUAACGCUAAGUGUGAGUUUGUUCACAAGAAAAUCGAAACAAAAUCGUAGGUAAAGCACGUGGAUAAGCAAUUAUGAUAAUAAUCACAAUCAUAAAGUAUUUUACAUUAACGAUUUAUCAUAUCAUCAUUACACUAUUUCAUAAAACAUAAGUUCAAAUGCACGUGCUAAUGUAUGGCAAUGCAAGUUCAAUUUAUCAGAAAGGUCCUACCCAACUUCGUUCAUACCUCACUUAUGAGUUCCCAAAACUCAUCUACCAUAUCACUCCAGGUUGUGGAUGAACCACCGCUGAUUUGUAGAUAAACCGCCACUUGUGGAUUCACAACGUAAUUACAGAUAAAGUUGCCACUGGGUUUGUAAAAAUUGUGGGUAAACCACCAGUAUUUUUUUUUAUAAAAACAUUUACAGACAAGCUACCAUUUGGUUCAAGAUCGAAUCACAUAUUUACAGUUACUGCCACUUGUUGUGAGUGCACAACAUAUUUGCACAUUAAACAAACUGCCACUUGGUUUGUGGAUGAGCCACCACUUGUAUGUAGAUUAUUAAACUACCACUCUUCCUCCAUACAAAUCAUCUCACCCCAUGCAAUGCUAUAUGGUAUAAUUUAAAAGAUCAUAAUGCAAAAAUUCGUAGGCAUGAUUAACACUUAUUCCGUUCAACGCUAACAAUAGACAUGUUCAUUAUGUAUUUUGUAGGGCGAUGGUAGUAAUAGCUCUUCCUAAUUUAUCAAUGACACUUUAACAGUAGGCAUGGUCACUUUUGCAUGUUUAUUCAUGGCAUCAUAACAAUUCAAUAAAUCAAUUUCGAUAAACACAUUAUAGCAGUCAUCAUUCAAGUAUAUAAAGUAUAGAUUUUUCCUAUAAACAUUAAUUCAAGGAUUAAUUAAGUGCACAAAAACUCCUAGGAACACUUCAAGGAUCAAGCAGAGACUAAACUGAACAAAACAUAAAUUUUUAGGCAAAAUUAUAAAACAGGGGGCACAUGGUCGUGUAGAAAGGUUACAUGGUCGUGUAAAAGCUGAGGCUGUACGGAACACGCAAAAUUAGACUACAAAGGAGACAUUGUUGUGUGGAAAGGUUUAGGUCGUAUGGUUCAUGAACUACACUAGGGUUUCAAAAAAAUAUGGUUGUGUGAGGGGUUGGUGACCCUAUUCCGUGGCAUGGUUUGCCCUAAUUUUCUCGUAAAAGACUACAUACCUUUCAUCGGGAUCUCGAAUGGCAUCCCCCAUGUUUAAAUCUAGUUUAAAACACCUAUAACGGGUACUUCAAAUAACAUUUAUGUAACACCUCAUACCUGAUUCAAUCAUCGGACCCAAGCUACAUGAUUCUACAAAAGAUAAUAAAACAAUUACAUGUCAAUCCGAUAUUUAACAAUAAAAACAGUCAUUAAAACGUUCAUAAUUCAAGUAUGCUUUGGUUUGCACAUCAAUCUGAUUCUGAAACGAGCUUACGAAAGCUUUAAUCAUCCCAGGAAUAAAUACGGACUUAAUUGUAAACUUGACAAAAGACAUGGAAAUUUUAGUAAACAGAGGUCACACAGUCGUGUGGCCUAGCCCUGUGAAAAGCUAUGUCCGUGUAUGCAUGAAUCACACGGUCAUGUGGUUAGGACGUGUAACCAUUUGUGUUUGUAUGGAAAAUAUGCAAUCCGAAAAUCAAUAGAGCACAUGCGUGUCAUUAGCUUGUGUGUGACACACGACCGUGUGUCAAACUGUGUGUACAGGAAAAAGAACCUAAUGCACAAUUUGGCUCAACCUUACACCAAGACUUAUGAUGCAUUCAUUUACUAACAUUAACACAUGUUCAAAUAUGUACAUUUCAUGCCCAAAAUAUAACUUAUAAAGCAUUUCUAAUUAUUUAACCAAUAUGCCAUAAUUGACACCUCAAUCAACAAAACUAUUCUGAUCUAUUCACUCAUAAUUUAUGCAUUCAUCCAACUAUCACUUAGCACACAUUCGAGCUAGUCAUCCACAUUUUCAUAUCAUACGAGUAUAAGUAUGGUUCAACUUACCAAAACAAUUUCAUAAACUUUAAUGUAAUGCCCAAAUAAGCAUACCAAAAAUGGGUAAAUUCAUAAAUUUGAACACAAAACAAACACACACACAUAUAAAUAUAUACCACACUUAUUAUGUAAUGCCCCGUACCCGAGACCGUUGCCAGAGUCGAACACGAGGUGUUAACGGACUUAAUUCAUUAUUAAACAGCUCAUACAAUUCAUUUUAAAAUUUCCAGACAAGCUGGCUAACUGCAUCACAGUCUCUUUAAAAAUCAUAUCUCGAGUUCCGAAACUCGAAAUCCAAUUUCGUAAAUUUUUCCUGAAACUAGACUCAUAUACCUAUCUAGUAAUUUUUUUCUAGAAUUUUUGGUCAGGCCAAUUAUUACAGUUUAUUAGCUAAAGUCUCCCCUGUUUCAGGGUUCGACUACUCUGACCUCUGUGUAUUACGAAUCAGAUAUCUCCCUAUACAGAGCUUCAAUGACUAUUUAGUUUGUCUCUAAUAAAACUAUACUCAAAAAGGAAUCUUUACAUAUAAAGCAUGACUUCUAAUUAUCUUUGUAAAAUCUAUGGUGAAUUUCCAAAGUCAGAACAGGGGAUAUAGAAAUCGCUCUGGCCCUGUUUCACAAAAAUUUAAACAUCUCAUAAAAUAUAGCUCAUAUACCUGUUUUGCUUCUUCCAUAUGAAAAUAGACUCAUCAAGCUUCGAUUCCAUAACUUAUUCAUUAUUUAAUUCCAUUUCUACUAUUUUUAGUGAUUUUUCAAAUUCACGUCACUACUGCUGUCUGAAUCUAUUUUAUGAUAAAUUUUACCUAUUUCAUGGUUUCCAUGGAUUAGCUAGCAAUUUGACAUACAUAAGACCAAAUAUGAUCAUGAUUAGCCAUUCCAAUGGCUAAUCAUUACCAAGCAUUUCCAUACCACUCAAUAACCAUAUCAUAAGACCAUAUAUACAAAAUGAUUAUAAUGCUAUACAUGCCAUACUCAAAAUAUACAAGCCAUUAUGCCAAGAUGGUAUACGGAUAGUGUGAGCGAGCCUUCGACUGUUCCCGAUUUCCGAGCUGGCUUGUCAAAACUACAAGGAAUGAAAAGGAGGGAGUAAGCAUAAAUGCUUAAUAAGUUCACAUGCAAAUAGCAAGUAACAUAACCAUAUAAGCAAACAUAAAACAUCAUUUGCAUAAUCAUCACCAAGACAUUCAUAUCACAUUUUCAUUUAUCAUCUUACCAUAUUGUUGUUAUAUCGAUUUUUCAACCCGAGGGUUAAGUACAUACCUGUUCAAAGUACCCAUUUCACAACACUUACCAAUACGUCCCUUUCGUCUUGAGUAUUCCUCCAUUUCAGUAGAACUUUACCCAUUGAACACAUCGGAAUAUAAUUCGGAUACAUGGAAAGUUUGCACAUAAGUGCCACAUAUGUAGCCAAGCUACCAUGUAACCCGCCAAUAAGCGAACUCGGACUCAACUCAACGAGCUCGGGCGUUCGCAUACAUAAGUGAACUCGGACUCAACUCAACGAGUUCGGACAUUCGCAUCCAUAAGUGAACUCGGACUCAACUCAACGAGUUCGGACAUUCGCAUCCAUAAGUGAACUCGGACUCAACUCAACGAGUUCAGAUGCCCAAAUAUCCUAGUGACAUGUCACUUGUAUCCUAAUCCAUUCCUAAGGUUCAACGGGACCUUUUUCCCAAUCAUGUGUCUCAACCAUCUUCUACGGAAAGCCGAUACCGAUACUCGGUAGUAUUUCACAUUUUCCAAGUAUAUCACACAAUUUGACAUAUUAUCAAACAAUUAUCACGAGUAUAAUAUUUCAUAAUAAUUAUCAUAUCAUUUAAAUAACAUAAAAACAUUUAAAAUAAUAACUAUGUUACCAACAUUUACAUAUGAACUUACCUCGUAUGCGAAAAUGGCUACUUUUACCAUUUCGUCCACAACUAGGUAUUUUCCCCAUUU
rnacentral:lncRNA from 1 species